UUUCCGUAGGUGAACCUGCGGAAGGAUCAUUAGCAGAGGAGAGGAUUUGGGGCCAGAGGAAUCUGGUCACAUUUGCGGGGGGAUUGUUUUGUUGUGUCGUGUCGUGUGACAUGUGUGACAUGUGUGACACGUGUGACAUUACACUGUUACACUAUGUUACAAUAUUACACUUGAGCUCUCAACAAUGGAUCUCUGGGCUCUUGCAUCGAUGAGAACGCAGC
rnacentral:misc_RNA from 1 species